rnacentral:tRNA from 1 species
UGGCAUAAUGGUUAAAGCGCUCAGCUGCUAACUGAAAGGUUGGUGGUUCAAACUCACC